rnacentral:lncRNA from 1 species
AAAGCAGGUUCCUCAUGGCCCCUUUUUUUCAAUAAAGGAUACAAACAUAUGGGUAACAUACAAAGAAUAACCACGGGAUUUUUCCUUGGCUGAGAAUGCAUACCUUCCUGUUCAUCAUGGACAGCAGCACUGUUACUUACCCGUGUCCAAAUAUCUUUCCCAGGAAAAAAAAUGAAAAAGCUAAUGAUUCUUCUCAUUAGCCUGGAGGCCAGCAGAGGGGAUGACCAAGACGAAUGAGAGAAUGGAGAAGGAGUGAAGGGGCAGUUACAGUGCGUCUUCAAUUAAGCUCCACUUGGCCUGUGAGCCUGCAGACUUAAAGAAUGAUCUCACUCAUGUGCCAGACAGACAGGGUCUCUCCCAAGUCCACCCAGCAUGCCUUGAAGAAAGGAGGCAAAGUGAUUUUGGAGACAAAAAAAAACCCACACGCAUAUACAUGUACACACAGAGGUAGGUGAAAAAUACUUUGAAAUUAACAGACUUGCCUGUAUUAAUUGUGUAAGGGAAAGUGGGAAGUAGGAAGGCAGAGGGCACUAGGAAGGGAGGAGGAAGAUGGUGAUUGCAUUGAAACUUCUCUUGCUGUGAGCAG